CGGCUCUCACACACAGGGCUGCGGCCUUCGGAGGAGCUCGGCCGUGUCGCGGCCCGUUCGUCCUGCCCGGGCUUGGGCAGCGCUCAGCGGCACCAUCUGAUCGGCUUCCGUGCCGGAUGCGGCCAGGGGUUGGACUCCGUGCCCCGAUGUGUGCGGAAGAUGCAACCUCGGCUGUUCGGCGAUUGCGUCGUUCGAACGGCCCAUUAUAUACCCGUAUGCAGACACGAGGCUGCUGGGGCCCUUCAGUUUAGGUCUCUGAACACUCCUCCAAAGCAUGGCUGCGCGCUGGCUGCUUUAUGGAAACGGCCACCUUCAGUUCAGUGGUGUUGAAGGGACCUGAAAGGUAGCACUGAAAGGACUGGAAGGAACUGCGGGUGCUGGCGACGAGGAGAGGAAUGGCACGUGAGUACGCGAGGAAUUCAGGACUGAAAUUGAAAUUAAGCUCAGCUAAGGAUACUGGGCCACAUCCUUACUUUACACAGCUGGGGACAUCUGCACAGACUUGGGAUAACUAGAUCCUGGCACAGCCCUGCAACAUUUCUGACAGUGUUAGUGGUGGUUUCUGAGUGAAGCGGUGCACACUUAUCUUGGCACAGCUUGCAAUUGGUAUGGGUGUGGGCUGUUUAGAAAAGCAAAGUGACUGUCCUCCCGUGGCCUGGGCUGAUCUUCAGGAAUCACAAAGGUGAACUUCUGCAUAAGAGUGGUGAAGAAGAUGAAGAGCUCCAUCCUGGCCAGUUGUUCCCCCAGACAGGCACGUCGACCUGCAAGAAGGAAUUUCCGUGGGAGAGAAUAUUGAAUCACAGUGAAAUCACUGUGGGAUGAGCACCCUUUGUGUGUAGACAAAGGAUGGAGCAAAACACAAUUCAGAAGCUUCCUUGCACUGAAUGGAGAGAAGGAAGAAAGUGGGACUGGUUGUUGACUAUGUGAAAAAGGCUGAGGCACUCACAGCUAUUUAGUUAGCUGGUGCAUCAUGUCUGUCAGGCACAAAGUCACAGAACAGUUGAGGUUGAAAGGGUCCCUGCAGGUCUUACCACCUGCUCAAUUGCAAAGAUGAGGAAAAGGACAACCCUGGACUUCCACUUCCCGGGAGGCACAUCACCACCGUUCCUGCCGUGCACCAGACUUGCAGCUAGACCCUCCCCUUGGAUUUACCUGCAGAGAAGGGCAAGAAGGCCUCUGGUCUCACAAAUUCCCCAUUCUCAUUCAGGAAGUGUUCGGGAUAAAACUCAUUUGGCUUCUUCCAGACUGUCUCAUCCUUCAGCACGGAAGUCAAGUUGGUGAUGAUUGUCGUCCCCUGCACUCGUUCACAAGAGGAAGCAACUUAUAUGAGAACCGCAGAAUUAUCUUGGCAUGAUAGAUCAGUGCUGGUCCCUCUUUAGUCUGUCUCUCCCACCUAAUGCAGUCAUUGUUAGGUGCUUCAAAUAAGGCACCAAGCUCUUCUUCUUGAUCUUACUGAAAACAGAGGUGCAACAUUUGCACACUUCCAGUAACAUGUGUUGCCUGCAAACAGCCUCUGCUUCUCAGAACCCAAGGACUCGUUUUAUAGCUGAAAAGGAAAAGCUAACAGACCUCAAAGCCCAACCUUUGCAUGGGACAUGGAAAACCUCAAAGCUCCUGUUUUAAACAUCGGGGAGUCAUUGUGUGGCUUAAAAAACAUCUCAGGCGUGCCUUACAGCCAGUGCUGCAAGGAGAGGGGGCUCCUGAAAUGCCUCUGCAGUUGGUUCCCGCAUAAGCAGUGUAAACCAGAGCACAAGUGCAACCAUCUGUGUGAUCUUAGUAUUUCAAAUUUCCUAAGUCAGUGUUCUCCACGACUGUGCUUUGGGGCAGGAGGGACAAAGCUGCAGAGUUGUUUGGGGUCACUGCAGGCCUGGCCUCUCCCUGGAGCAAUGAUGCUGCCUUGGCUUUCUGGGCACACACACCUUGGGAAUGAAGAAACCUUGAAGCUCGGUGUCCCGGUAUGUCAUGUGAGGUAGCCCCAUAGGAAUAAUGUCCCCACAGCGUUGUACUUCAUGGAUGACGGCAUUGGUGUAGGGCAUGUUUGCUUGGUCUGCCAUGGUGGGCGGUCGGUUUCUUCCAGUCACCUUAUCAAUCUCUUUGUGAACUUUACCUAAAAGCAGCACAGCUUAGGAAUUAGAGCUUCCUUAAGUAAUCAGAAGGGUCUGGUACAAGAUAUAGGAAAUCUGGCAGCAUGAGCUGAGCAGGCACUGGGUGAGAGCAAGACAGUUACAGAAAGGAGCAGAAUCUAGUGGGAAUACACUUUUUCAGUUGCUCAGAAAGAUCUCUACAACUAUUAAUUGUGCACAGUGCCUUUCAUGAAAUUCUCAUUUGAUAUUCUUACCAUUCCCCUCCUCAAUGUGACUGAAAGAGUACUUGUGGAAUGCAGCAUUUGAGAAUUAAAACAGCUUAGUGUCUAUUCCAAAUACAGGAAGGAGGGUACCAUGGUCACUGAAAGACCCCCAGGAGCCUUCAGUGAGAGGGAACCUGAACAUGGCCUUCCAACUCCAGUCUUUUCAGCAUGUUCCCUACCGGUCUCCCUGAGCUGUGCUACAACAGCUGUGUCUGGGGAUGCUGUGUUUGGGGAGGUGUUUCUCCUGGUUUCUCCCAGAAGAGCAAUUCCCAAAGCUGUUCCUUAUUGCAAAAAGCCCAAAAUAUGCUGAGAUGUGCACUGUCCCUGCAGUGAAAUGAGUGUUCAGAGAAACAUACUACACCUCUACUUGUCGUCUCACUUACUCUGUAUUUCUGGGUACAAAAGCAUGAACAGGAACGCCCAUCGGAGGGUGGUAGAGGUGGUUUGAGAACCUGCUGCAAGCAAGUCUGAUGUCACCAUGCUAAGGUUGCGUUUAUUGAAACCAUUCUCUUCAGCCUCAUUACCCUGCAGAGUGAAAACGAGAAUGUGACAGGAGCAAAGACACUUUGAGUGAGAAGACUUUCUUUCAGAGAAGUACUGAGAAGCAUUUUUGCUGACCAGGAUCCAUUUUUGCUGACCAGGAAUUCACUGGCAGAGUAGAGCACAGCACAAGUGGUGGUCUGUGUAUGACUGAUGUGCUUAAAUCAUGCCAAUACCACUGUAUUCCUGUAUCCUGAGAGGUGAAAGCUAUACCUUUAUAGCGAAUGCCUUGUGCUCUCAACUCAGCAGAACACUGACGCUUACUGUGAGCAGCAGAGAAAAGUGACAAGAAGGAAUUGGAUCAGGCUCAGAUCCACCCCCUUAUAUGCCUGCAAAGCAAUGCAGGCUGAAAAGAUAGCUGCCAGACACUGAGUGGAGAAAGAGUGUGGUAGUUGGGGACAGAAACAGCAGAUUAUAUGAUCUUUGAGGAUAAUCAACAGCAUGGAGAGUUGAACACCUAAUUUCUCAAGAAUGACGUGGAAUGACGAGGUAGGAGAUUUGUAGCAGUCUUUAUAGAACUGUAUAAGUGAAGCCAACUUCUAUCGACAAGUGUAAAGAACAAGAGGAAUUGCCUCAGGUCUGUGAGGUUCUGUUGAUCUCUCUGUACCUUUGCCAUUUCCUUUAAAAAUGCAUCAGUGAAGUCUCGGGUGUAAGCAGGGUUCCAGGUCUCCCUGUGCUUCUCUAUGAGCAUUUCUGUGAAGUCUAUGUAUUCCUUUUGGCUUCGAAAGAUCUUCUGUGGCAGUCCAGGGAUGCGCAACAAUAUGGGCACCACAUGAAGAAGCUGGCAGGCCAGGACCAUACAGAAAGAGACAAGGUUUUAUGCGAUCUAAAAAUGAAUAUAAUGGAAACACAGUACUCUUAAGUGACUGAGGUCAGUGUCUUACAGAACAUAAUAUGCUUCCGUGUUACCUCUGCCAGGAGUCCUACUUCUUCAUUGAGGGAAUUUUCAAACAAAGUUAACAGCUUCUUGAAUGUCUCGUCACCGUACUCAAAACGCUCUCCAUAGGUGAUGGUGCAGAUCACGUUGCUGACUGCAUUAUUUACAAGAAGAUGCAGAUCAAAAGGACGACCUGAAAAUGGAAAUGGAUAUCAAUCAAAGGGGCUAAGCAACAUCAUGCUGUGGUACUGCAGCAGUACUCCAACAACAAGAAUACACACCUACCUCUUUGCUGCUUUCAUGAGAAAAUGCCCCAAAAGUGCUCAAAGUACAAAUAUAUCAUAGUAGGAAUGUAAGAUCUUCUACUAUGGUUCAGCUGGUCAUUGUUUAUAGAAGACAGGUCCUCAAGAAGAGCCAAAUUACAGGAUUGUUCUGUCACAUGACAGAUAGCACCUCAUGAGUCUAAUUAUAGUUGAUGCUGUGUGAAAGCUGUCGGAUUCAUUUUGCAAUAUGUGAUAAUACUGGUAUCAUGAAAUCACAGGCUGCUUCUCCUGGCAGCCUGUUUCAAUGCUUCCCUACUCUCUGAGUAAAGAAUUUCUUCCUCUCCUCUCUUUCAGUUUCAAACCGCUCCCCCUAGUCGUAUCACUAUCAAAUCAUGUUAAAUCUCCUCCCUGAUUGUAAGUUCCCCUCAAAUACUGGAAUGCUGCACUGAGGUUUCCCUGCAGCCUUCUCCUCUGUGGGCUGAACAAACCGUGCUCCCUCAGCCUGUCUUUGUAAGAAAGGAGCUCCAGCCCUCUGAGCGUCCCCAUGGUUUCCUCUGGUCCCACUCCAACAUCUCCAUGUCUUUCUUGUGCUGGGUGCCCCAGCCCUGGAUGCAGUACUCCAGAUGGGGCCACACAAGGACAGAGUACAGGAAGACAACCACCUCCACCAAUGCAUCCGCCAUGUUCCACCCCGUUACACCUAACUUUUCAUGGGUAAUAGUUACCCAACUCUGAAAUUAUUGUAUUUUACCUCUGCUUAUUUUUAUUUAUUUCCUGUUCGAAAUUGAUUAGCCUUACAGUAGCUCCAAUGCAUAAGGUAGAAGUGGCUUUGCAGCACAGCAGGUUCAGUAACCAUUAUUCUGAUGGACUUGAAACAUGGCAUGCAAACAGGAGAAGCUGUAUCACUAAUUGCCUUUUUCUGUUUGGUUGUUUGGGUAUUUUUAUCGGAACAUUUUCUCCAUCCUGCUGCAUGUGACAAACCUCCUUCAGAAUUAACUGCAGAGCACAGAAAUCCUGCUUCCUCAGUCACUCGCUCCUCCAAGGACUUCUUUCCCAUCCCAAAGUUCCUCAGGGUAGUGAGCGUGAAUUUCCUUAGCUCCUUCCAGACAUGUCCAUACCGUGCCAAAACAACCCCUGGAAGUAAAAAUGAUCAAGAAACAUCAGGAGCUCUGAGCUGUACAAUGUGCAGGUUUUGCUAGAAAUGAACAAAUGUGAGUUUGGAGGUUAACAUCGGGGGAAGAAAGAGGAAGAAAAAAAAAAAGUGCAGCAGCUCAGAACAGUGUCAUCCACUAUCUGCAGCAGGGUGCGAUGCACUGCAAUUAGCAAGAUGCAGCUAUUCUGGAGGAACCUGUCCAGAGCACUGCGUGGAUAUUUUGGUGACAUCACGAGGUCAGGAACCUGUUUAGAGAUUUUCAAAGACUGAGCACUCAAGAACCCAUUAUUUCCUGACACUUGUAAUUUCAUUUAAAAACCUAAGCAAUUUUAGGUAGCUUUAAUUUUUGCUAGACAGAAAUACUGAUGAUAUGUAAUGUAAUUCCUUUUUCCACCCAAAGCCCUAUUCCCAGAAGCAUGUUUGGAAAUGGUAGCUCCACACUGGAGUUCCAGGUCAGCUUCCUCCCCAGAGGGAAUGUACUCUUCUAGAAACACAGGAAAGCUUUCAGAGCUGCACCAGAAAGAUGAGCUGCCAGAAGCAUUACUUCCUGACCACUUAUUGCUGUAGAUCUCUGAGCCUUAGGAAGGGUACAACUGAUGACCCAUUCAUGUAGCCUUCCUGCGGGCUUCAAGGAUGCGAUUACUCCAACUCUGAAGAUGUUCUGGGAAAGAUCACACUGCCUACUCUGUCACUCUGAUUAGAUUCAUGGGUGAGAAUGAAUAACUGGAUGCAAAAAAACAGCAACUGAGGGAGAAACACAAGGAGAAUGUAAAGGAGAAGACUGCAUGCUCAGACUGUUGUCUGCAAAGGUGCAGGUAUCUGCAGAGCAGGCUGAGCUGACAAGGAAGCUGUGCCCAGUGCUUGUAGGCUGCACACCAGGGGCUGCUCUGACAUCAGUUCACAAGCUCCUCGUCUCUGCCCUUCACUAGUGGCCCAUUAAAUAAGCAGAAGAUGGUCUGAAGAACCAUCUUGAUUCUGCAAGCACACCACAAAUAACGUAGCACUUCAACAGAGAAUGUAAAGCGUGCAUUUUUCCCUGCUUUUUUUUUUUUUUGCCAAAAUGAUUAUGAACACACUGCAAAUUAAAACAAACAAGCAUGUAAUUUUGGUGGUCUAUAACCCAUGGUAGUCAUUUCCAAAGGCACCAAGUACUCAGCAUUAGAGAACAGAAUUUGUUAUGUUCUUUUCAUGAAUAACACAGUGUCAAGCUCAUUAGUGAUUUUUUCAUGUUUUUAUCUGUGUUUUUUAUGUCAGCAAAAUAAUGGCAAACAUUUAGGAGUAUUUAUCAGUGCAUUGGAAACACAGAAGAUUAUUGUGCUUUACGACCACAGCAAAAACAGGUUGUUUGUGUUUGAUGCCUCCAGUGAUGAUGUUUAUGCUUCACAGAUCCAAAUACGCACUGGAAAUCAGAAUGUAUAUUUAUUUAUCAACAGGAAAACCAUGAAUAACUGUUUGGGUGUGAAACAUUGGCUCAGCAAUGCUCACAGUUGGAUUAAUACCUGUGGGAGCAUGUGGAGUGAAAGGGGAAUUAGAAAUGAUGAAAAUGCAUGGAAUUUCUUAACAGGAAUUGUUCAGCAAAUUGCAUGUUGGAAUUCCAUUCCGGAUGAGCUGGUUACUUACACCUCAGCAGCUCUGGCAGCAGCAUCUGUGCAUCUCCAGCCUCAGGUCAGAGCACUUGGGCAGGUAAAACAAAUGUUUGGGCAUUAAUAGCACUGUAGGAGAUGCUGGCUUACUUGAAACACUAGAAUUUGGAGAUUUUGAAAACCAUGCUCCAUCCAGAGAUGACAAAUAUUAGUCCUUGCACCUAUUAAGUACCAGCGCAGCUGUGUGUUUGCUAACUCCUUCCAGGAGCUUUCCACUGCAUUGCUUAGAGAUAAGGCACACUGGGUCAUAUCCAGGAAAAUGGAUAUCCUCAGGCACGUCCUUAAUUGCUUUGUACUUGUUAUUGCUUAUACCAAAGUCCAAAGUACCAAAUAUCGGGUUUGCUGGAAAGCAGGAAAAAGUGGGGGUUGCUCAGAAACUGGACAUGGCAGUGGGCACCCUGCUCUUGGUGGCCCUGUGGGGGCAGGGGUUGGAGCAGAUGGACCCAGAGGUCCCAGCCCACCUCAGACAUCCUGUGGUUCUGUGCAGUCCACUUUGAUAACUUUCCACUGAAGGCUUUAUGCAGGCCAUGGUCUGUGCUGACUCCUGUCUGCAGGAGGGAAUAAGGUGCAGUUUGGGGUUCAGAGUAACCUCCCACUGCUGCUUGAACAGCUCUGCCUGCACUGGAUGGUGGCACUCAGGCUGUGAAGAUGUGUCGCAGUUCAGGAUUAAAACCGUGCUGAAUAUUUUCAAGAAUCUGUGCCGUCUGGCUGCCCUGAUGUGCCACGUGUAGAGCAAACGAAGGCAAUGACAGAGCUUUUAUUUGAGAAAUAGGUGCUAUAGGUAAAGCUAUCCGAGAGGAAUUAACUCACCCCUCCCGGUAACAGUUUGUACAAAAGGAGGAGCUGAGGGAUGUGACCCUCCCCCAUUUGUACCACUGCACUGCAACACAGAAGGGUGGGGGGAGAAGGGGUCUCUCCAAGUCAAAUGGCAACAGGAUGAGAGAACAGUCACAAGCUGCGUGGACCUCUAGGUCUUGUGAAGCAAAGGAGAUAAUGGAGAUUUUCCUCAGUGUGGGGGGGGAGGUGGGGAGGAGGAAGGGAAAGAACAAUUCCAGAACAAUUCCAGAACUCCAGACUGAAUACUACUGAGUACUGAGAAUAGCUGAACAGCUGAUAGGCCAAAAACCCAAUGACUGAAGUUGCUGAAGCAUUACCACAUUUGUGUAGCCAGCAGUCACCAGGGAUGGUGAGUGCUGGUGAGCUUGGAGGUGCAGGGAAUUUAAGGGUGGGAGGGAGAGCUGGGAAACGUGAGCUCCUGUGUCUCAAACCCUUUGGGCUACAGCUCCAGAAUACAUCAUCUGAGUACCUCAGAAGUGAAUUCUGAACAAUAGGAUAAGACGGCUGCAAGCAACACAGGUGUGCAGUGAACAGAUUACCUGGAAGUAAUGGAAGAUUGGGAAAUGCAGCAAUGGAGCCCCUGGAGGACUCCACUGUCAGUGGAAAGGAUAAUAAUGACUCAGUCUGCUUACACCUUUUGGGAACUCUUCAAAGCUUUUUGAGUCACAGUCUCCUGGGAUUUUCCAAAUUCCCAGGAAUACCUGUGUUCUCUGACAAAUGAAGCAGUAUGAGCCAUGAAAGCGGAGGUGCAACUCAAAUCCCAACAGUCAGUGCACCAAGGAGAACAAAGGGAAAUAUGAGAGCUGAUUGCUUCUCUCCUCCUUAAGGCGCCCUGUGCUGUACAGCUACUCGAAGCUUAUUUCAAGGCCUGGUGCUCAGGAUGGAGUGAGUUGUAGGUAGAGACUUCUGACUGCAAGGAAGAGUUUUUUCUUGCACGGUCGCAGGCUGUUUCCUCGUGUGGAGGCACAGUGCCUUGUGGGAAACCUGGAAUGGUAGCAUUCAAGUUGUCCACGUGUCUCCUGUGCGUUCUGAGUUACAUUUUAACCCAUAUAAAUAGACACUUAGCAUCCACACAGGCUGGUCAGUGAGCAAAAACAUUACUCAAUUUUCCCCAGCUGUUGAACACCUAAGCUGAUACAUUUACAGAUGGAGGUAUAAGCUUACACAUCAGGAGUUCAUGUAUUCUUAAAGAGUGAAGCUGUAUUUCCUUGACGCACUUAGUGAAGAAAGAGGAAGGUCAGAGGGCUGUUGCAAAUUGCUAGAUGAAGACGCUGCUCAGAACAGCCCAGCUGUUCCUUUGCUUUGCAUCUGAAGGACUAUAAAAGAAAGCUCUCCCAGGUAUUUCAUUAAGCACUUGACUACAGCUUAGGAAUAGUUUUUGUUUGCUCUUGGUUUUGAUCAGCUACUCUCAGAUCCCAAGCAACUCCAACAAAUGCUGAAAAGAAUUAAGGGGCAAAUCUCUCUUUCUCCAGAAUUGGUAUUUAGAGUCUCUCUCUCCAGCACAAUCAGCCCUUUUAAUAAGCUUAUAUGAAGCUCGAGAAACCCAACACUUUUCACCGGAACAGCACAUGGAUUCCGUGGCUCCACAGAGGCACACAUUCUUUUGGUUUUCCUGUGCCUACCUCAGUGCCCCAUUGCACAGCUCAGCACAGACCUUGACCUCAGCAGAUGUGGAAGCAGCCUUCCUUUUCUGCACUGAUUGUGGGCUGCUAUAAACUUGUUUCGUAAGAGCAAGAUAACGUAUCUGUGCUCUGAGAAGAACAAACAAACUUGGAUAAUCCAGACAGCAGAGCCUUUUUAAGAAAAGCAAAAUCCAUCCUCUGUUUGGAAUUACCGUUUGGAUGGGAAAUGACUGACUCGCAUUGAAGAGUUUAUUGGGGCCUGUUGUGUAAUAAAGCAAACAGCGCAGAAUGAAGUUGGCACAGAGCCUACGUGAGCACUUCUCUCAAAGUUAACAGAUGGACCUUCAAACCCCAGAGGCAGCCUGCAGGAACCCAGGCCUCCACGUGCCCCUCCAGUGCUUAGAAACUUGAUGUUUCUAACCCGGUCUUUCGUACUUGUAAUAAGGAAUGCUUAUUUAUCUACUGUAGCGGCACCUUUUUCAAGUCUUUUUGGAUCUUGUGACAACACGCUGCUCUUGCUUUCAGUAAAGUGAGUUCUGUAGCAGCAACAGUAGGCCGUGGUGACAGCAGCCAUCAGUGCCCUUUUCAAGACUGCAGCUGCAGUCUCACAACUGCGGGAGCUGGUUCCUCUCCCAGUGUGUCUUCUUAUCCAAUGAAGCCAGGAACGUUGCACAGUUGGAGGAGAACCAUAUACAGCCCUGGCAAACAGGUUAGAGUAUGCAAAAUGGGUUCAUUCCGUUUGCCCUCUGCUCCUGCUUACUGGACAUGCCUCCAUCAGCCGUACUUAUUUUCCUGCUGAGUGCAGCUCUCCGGAUUCUUUUCCAAAUGGUUGGUUAUGGUUUUGCCAUUCAUCACCUGGACACUUGGCAGUUUCUCCUCAGAAGUUUUAGCAAAACAAGGCACCCGCUGAGCAGCCAGACUCUAACACCCUUUUCAUACAGCCACGUCCUUACCUCAGCUCCAUGCAGCCAAGACAUUACACAAAGAUGGAUUAUGUUAAACUGUAGUUUCUUUCUCCUUGUACACAGUCUUGACUCAUUUUUAGACCCGUUUCCACUUGCAGUUCCUAGUUUCCUCAUAGAACACUUGAAAAACAGAUUUAGUCUGCUUUCCCAUAUUUCUUCUUGCUGACUACGAAUGGAAGGACAGUCACAUGACCAGAGUCAGCUUAAUAUAAUAACUUUCAUGGUAAUGCCAAUGGAUGCACCAAAACAUCCUCAAAAUAACCUCUUUUGUGUAAGAAUCAAGUGAUGGCACCACUCUAGAGACAGAAAUAUAUUCCUGGUGAUGGAAGUCCAAUUCUGUUUCCCUACUAUGAAUGCUAUAAAGUGUACAUAAGGGCUUAUCCAUUUUUUAAUAAAACCACUCAGUGUGGUGACACUUCUUUGAUCAAUUAGUGUCAGCCCAGGGGAAUCGAUUUGCUAUGUAGUGCACACAUAUAACGCUGUACUUCUCUCUAGCAUAAUGACUCCCAGCUCCCUCUCAGAUAUCUUGGACAUUUUUGCUGCUCCCCCCUGAAAGAUGUGAGACUGAAGUCAUUUCAAUACAGUUCAGUUCAAUACAGACAGAACCACUGUCAUGGUAUGUCUCACAGCCAGGAGCACAGAUCCUCACGCCCUGUGAUCUCGAGGUUUGGUUAUUAGCAGGUAUAGUUACAAGCCAAAAGCCAGUGAUGGACUGCAUGCAGCACUGGCAGAUAAACUGCAUAUAUUCAUGUACAGUACAGGAGUAAGUGCGUAUGGGUUUUGUCAAGCAGAUGAGUAUGUCACCAGUUUGAGUCCUGAUCCCCCAGCUAAAGUGGAAGAUUUCCAUCACAGGAGGUUUGCUAUGGGCUGAAGAGUACUUCUUUCUUCUUAAUAAUUUUCUCUAUGGCUGUGGAGCAGCAUUAGCAUUUCUGAAGGCCAAAAUCUUGAAACCACAGCAGUGAAACUGAGUUAAGCAAUGAACUACAAGAAACCUCUCCAGAUGAAAGAAGAAAGGGAAGCAAUCUCAGCUCUGAACAUGGCCUCAUGAAAGAAGUGAGCAGACAAGCAGUGCUUCCCUUCAGUUCAGGCCCCUUUCGGUGGAAGUGCAAACUGGCAUAUUGGUUCCACUUAAGAAAUGAAAUCCCACAAAAAGACCAAGUAGCCACCUGGUACAUUUUCAGUAGGACAGCAAAGUGUAACUUUUGCAUCUGACCAAAUCUACAGGCAGAGAAAUAAAUAAACAUCUGUGUACAACUGCACUGUCUACAACUGUUCCACUGAUCUUUAGACUGUAAGCAGAAUCUCAUCACUAUGGAAACGAUUCUUCAGUGAUGCGUAUCAGUCAAACUGGCACAGAAAGUGCUUAUGAGCUGCUGGUCUCCUGCAACAUUCCAGGAGUUACUUCUGUCUUCUGCUUAGCUGGCUGAAUUACCUUGUUUGCAGCACGCUGUAGUAGCUCUCAAACAAAACCAAACCCAAGAUGUUUGUUACAAGUUCACUACCGCAGACCAAUAAGAAUUUCACCUUGUUCCACAAUAUAGAGAAUUCUAACCCAACCCUCAGGUUGCAACACUUUCAGCUUCUCACAGGAAGGUCAGCAGAACCUCAAAGAAUUAACCACACCCUGGUAUUUACUAGACCUAUAACUAAACCUGGAUUACCCGUACACCUGCUUUUUUCACAAAACUUUUAAUUGUUAAUAAUAGUAAAAUUCAGACCAAUUAUAAUUGAUCCAUUUAUCCUCAACCACGCAGCCAGCCUGUAGAUCUGAAGAUCUGGUAUCUGCAUUCAGCUUUCUAUACUUUUAGAUGGAGGCUUGCUUUUCUGUCCAGUCUGGUAAGCUGGCACGAAGAUCAGACAAACCGCCCCUGUGCCCCGCUAAGCAGGUACUUCGCUGUGCCCAAGACAACCACUGCACUCAGGAUACCAUAUGCAAUUACUGCCUAACCUGAAAAACAAAGUGAAACCAGUAAUAUGCAGGAAGGUUCCAUUGCCUUGGUCUGCCAACGCUCUCCUCACAUUCUGGGGAACAUAUUCAGCAGCCUACCACAGCAGCAGCACCCAGAGCUCUGGGUUUGUGGACUAAAAUCGGACACAAGUACAAUGGUAAGUAGUUCAUGAAAGCAAAUCCAAGUAACAACAACCAGCACAACAUGACAGAGCCCAGCUAGAGAGGAGUCCACAAGGGCAGAGCUACCCACACCCAAUUCAGCUCUUUCAAACUUCCAGCAGUGGGAAAGGAGCUUGCUCACCUCAUGUUCAGUCCUCUUCCUGACUCUGAAAACUGCAAGGUGGCCAAGCAUGAUCAAAUACAAUGACAGCUCUGGGACACCACACCAUCCCUUAGGAUUUGGACCCAAAUAUUUUCAUACAGGUCACCACACUGCCACCCAGACAGUAUUCAGUGAAAAUGACUCAGAUAAUGAAAUUGGUACUGAUACUACAUGAUCAGCCACACGAAUCUAGGUCUUGACACAGCUGGAUUUCAUCAGCAAAAGGCAGAGCUACAGUUAAGCUAACUGCGGGUGAAGUGAUAUUUAUUCAUUUAGUUAGUUAGUAGUUGUUCUAAUGGCAAAGUUGUGGAGGCAAAAGUUCAUGGACAAAUGAUGCUUAUGUCGUCUUUCAAGACAUGCAUGGGAAUGUCCAAGCACUUGGCGUACUCACUCUCCCUGUCAUGAAAUUCUGAGCUGAGAGAAUGAACUCCAGGAGUUCAGGAAGGUGGUAGAGAUGUAGUUCAAAAGAGGAACUUCAGAUAAAAUUAAAAUUUAAUUUCACUGAGCCACAGUUCUCAUUCUUAAUGUGCACUGUCGAAAAAGCAAAGCUUGAAAUAAUGAAUUCCUUUCUUCCCUUCUCCCAUAGCACAAGUGAGGCCCAGCGGCAGCUGAUUUAUUUAGAAAGGUUAACACUUUGAUGCAGCUUGUAUAAAACCCUCCUUACCAGUCAGUGAGCUUUGGAUGAAAAAAAAAAAAGCUGACAAUGUAAGUGACACAUACAAAAAGCAGCUAAUAGCAUUAGAGGUGUGCUUGUGAGUAAAGUAACAUCCAUGUUUAUGUAUAGCUGGCAAUUACCCACGAGCUCAAAUGUGAUGCAGAAAUCAAUGCCCUUCUGAUUAUCAGUAUACCAAUUAGAUUACAACCCAGCAAGCCUACCUCUUGGCUGAUAACACUCCCUCAUACAGUGGAGAAGGUCAAGCAAUUGCAUGUGAAAACCAGACAGGCAAGCCAUGGAGUUGGAACUCAGGAGGAAAGGAGGGAGGUUCAGGCAGCUGACCUUUGUGGAGUUCAUUACUGUGCAACUGUAAGUCUGCACUGAAGGAGUGUCAAGGCCGCAGUGCUGUCUCUGGCUGCCAUACAAGGGCUGCUUGCCCAUGCCUGGAAUCAAUCCAGAGCAUUAGGCACCGGCUCAGGGAGAAAUCAGGCUCACCACACAGAGCCCCUCCCCGUUCCUGGACAGGUUCCAGAGCACCAGACCCUCUCCAACAGUCACUCUCCAGAUCUGGAUGUGAUCCAAAUGUUCUAGAGGCAACUGGCUCAGGGAGAAAGAAGCAACAAUCAGAGACAGAAUACACUGACUUGCCUGGAUGUUAUCCAAUACGCAUGAUUUUUCCUAACUUGCUGGGCCUAGGAGUGAACCAAGACAAAGUAGCCCAAUAAUCUAACAGCUGACUGCCCCUUUUAUCUCUACAGCAAGGUCAGUGGAAUGGCAGCUGCUCUUCUACCAGGAGUGCUCCUCUAAACUUUGUUAAUUGCCGUCGUAAUAACAGCAAAUCUUUUUUUAAGAACUGUAUCUCUUGGAUUUGCAUGGUUUUUGCUUUGGGAUACAAGGUCAGGCUGCAUAAACGAACCUCUAAGACAUUCUCAGCCCCCCAGGGAGGAGGUUAAACAGGACCUUUAGGUAAGAACUACUUGAGGCCAAAGUAGAAUCAGGAAGAAAUGAUGCCUUAGAGAGAUGUCUAAACCACGCAGUGAACAUAGUGCUGAGAUUCCACAGCUUGCAAGGUCUUAAGCCAAUAAUUCCUAUGAUCUACAAAAAAAAAAUGAAGGAAAAUGAUGUGGAAGACAAAGCUGCACAAAGGUCUCUGCAACACAUUAAUAUUCAUUAGCUCCUUAAAAACCUACCUUCAAAAAUCAUCACGGAGAAGGCAAUUUCUGUCUUCUGCUACUACACAGAAGAACCAGAAUUCUCUAGUUAAUCCCUCAUCCUUCACAGAAAACAACACUAAAAGCUCUUUCCAGUUAUUUAAUUGGAGAAACAAGAUUAUGAAGUGACAAAGGUGAUUUGGAAGCAGUAAAAUGGUGGUGAGGGAAAGGGAUUGUUAAAAUCAGGCUAGACGGCAGACAUGAAACAGCAACUACACCUGUAGUGCUGCAACAAAAAGACAGACAUGGCCAGCUAAGCAAGAAAUGCACCUGGAGCACUGAAAUGAAGUCAGAAGAUUUUUUGGAACUAGAGUUUAUGGGAAAAUAUGCCAAGAGGAACUAAUUUGAAAUCAUUAUUUCAUCUAGACCUCCCUGUUGCCACCACACGGCAACGUACUUGAUGGAAAUAAGAAAUCCCAUCCUCAUCAUACCCGCUCUAAUUCCCACCUCUGUGCUACUCCCUUCUCACUCCAGACAUACAGCAAAUCAGAUUAAGAAAAGGAUUCAAACUGAUACACUAAUAUGGCAAAACACAAUUUUCAGACGUCAAAUAUCUGACCAAGUUCACACGUGGCCUCCUGAAGACUUGGGUGAGAGCAAGCACAUCCAACCAACUCACGGCCAAUGGGCUGCACGUGGCCACCUCCUGCCCCGCACUAUAAAGGUGGCAGCUCUUCCCUGCCCCAGGCACAUCCCCCAUUGCUCUGCAGCAACCAAACUGUCAGAACGUUAUUAAGGCUGUGUCAACCAAAAGCAGGGCACAGGAAGGGCAGUGCUGUGCAGUGUUGGCUCAACAGCAAAUACCAGUAUGCAUUUGGAUAUACUGGCUAAACACAGGGCUCCAAACAGUGAAGAAUACACGGCUGAGCUUUUCAUUUUGAUACAGGAAUUUGAAAACAGGUUUCAAGAUUGCAAAAAAAAAGAAGUUUGCAACAUUAUUUUGAGUUGAUCUAAAUACAUUACCUGCAAAUUUUCAAACAGAAUGUAUACAGUUGCAAUCAGAUAUUCAACUCCAGAAUCUGAUUGUGUCUUUUCACCAGACCUUCAUAAUCCCUCUCUUACCAGAGAGAAAUAUCCUUCGCUUCACAAUCACACCGUAUUCAUGUCAUCACUUGUUGGCAGUACACACAUUCUGAACAACUACUGUCAAGGAUGAACUAGAGGAAGUGUAAAAUUUCUUCAAAAAAUCUCUGAUGAGUACCUUGAGACCUCACUAUGAAUUGCAACCACUGCCAUCGAAGCAGGGCGAUGCAUUCAUUUCACAAAGUCACAUAUCCCAUUAGUUUUAUGUUUUUGUUCCUCUCUUUUUGAAAUUGCUUUAAGAAAAAUAUUAAAAAUUGUUU